UUGUGGGCCUUAUUUUCUGUG
ensembl:piRNA 21ur-2983 ncRNA